CAAAGGGCAUCCCUAGUAGCGGCGAGCGAAGCGGGAAGAGCUCAAAUUUAUAAUCUGGCACUUUCAGUGUCCGAGUUGUAAUCUCUAGAAGUGUUUUCCGCGUUGGACCGCACACAAGUCUGUUGGAAUACAGCGGCACAGUGGUGAGACCCCCGUUCAUGGUGCGGACGCCCAGCGCUUUGUGAUACACUUUCAAAGAGUCGAGUUGUUUGGGAAUGCAGCUCAAAUUGGGUGGUAAAUUCCAUCUAAAGCUAAAUAUUGGCGAGAGACCGAUAGCGAACAAGUACCGUGAGGGAAAGAUGAAAAGCACUUUGGAAAGAGAGUUAACAGUACGUGAAAUUGUUGGAAGGGAAACGCUUGAAGUCAGACUUGCUUGCCGGAGCUUGCUUCGGUUUGCAGGCCAGCAUCAGUUUUCUGGGACGGAUAAUCGUGGUUUGAAGGUAGCAGUUUCGGCUGUGUUAUAGCUUUCCACUGGAUACGUUCUGGGGGACUGAGGAUCGCAGCGUGCUUUUAGCGGGGGUUUCGACCUCUUCACGCUUAGGAUGCUGGUUUAAUGGCUUUAAACGACCCGUCUUGAAACACGGGACCC
rnacentral:rRNA from 1 species